AUUCUUACUUGGCAGGGGAGACACCAUUAUCAGGCAGGUGGUUUUCCCAGGGCAAGGCUCAUCCCCUGCACUCCGGGUGUGCUGACCCCUGUGAUUUCCCCAAAUGCAGGAUUUAUUUUUUUUUUAAUGAGGAAAGGCUGAGAGACUUGGGUUUGUUCAGCC
rnacentral:snRNA from 1 species